rnacentral:tRNA from 2 species
GUGAGCGUAGCUCAACUGGUUAGAGCACUGGACUGUGGCUCCAGAGGCUGAGGGUUCAAGCCCCUUCGCUCACCCCA